rnacentral:rRNA from 1 species
CACGUAGGGGGCAAGCGUUGUCCGGAUUUAUUGGGCGUAAAGAGCUCGUAGGCGGUUCGGUAAGUCGGGUGUGAAACCUCCAGGCUCAACCUGGAGACGCCACCCGAUACUGCUGUGACUAGAGUCCAGUAGGGGAGCGUGGAAUUCCUGGUGUAGCGGUGAAAUGCGCAGAUAUCAGGAGGUACACCAGUGGCGAAGGCGGCGCUCUGGGCUGGAACUGACGCUGAGGAGCGAAAGCGUGGGGAGCGAACAGG